CAGCACCUCAAGUGGUCAGGAUGAUUAUUGGGCCUAAAGCAUCCGUAGCCGGCGCUGUAAGUAUUCGGUUAAAUCUGUACGCUCAACGUACAGGCUGCCGGGAAUACUGCAGCGCUAGGGAGUGGGAGAGGUAGACGGUACUCGGUAGGAAGGGGUAAAAUCCUUUGAUCUAUUGAUGACCACCUGUGGCGAAGGCGGUCUACCAGAACACGUCCGACGGUGAGGGAUGAAAGCUGGGGGAGCAAUCCGGAUUAGAGACCCGAGUAGUCC
rnacentral:rRNA from 1 species